GAUCAUAUCGUACGCCUCAUGAUUUGUUUCAAACUGCAUCUGCAAUUUGGGUUCCAUGCAAGCAAGUAUAAGGCAGCUUACUUCAAGAUUAGCAUCACAUGCUUUCUUGUAAGCAUUCUUAAUGGCAAUAGAUGCAUCAUUAGUAAGUUCUUCUAGUAAUGGGGUGUCCAGAACAUCUUCCUUUCUCUUAGCCCUGAGAACAAUUCUUAGGUUACGGAUCCAAUCCGUAUAGUUUGUCCCAUUCAGCUUGUCCUUCUCAAGGACUGAACGCAAAGUAAACGGUGUGGUGUUGCUAGGUGCCAUUUAUCUACAACAAAUAAUAAUGCAAAAUACGAAUAUGAAAGUAUCCAUGAUAGAGUAAAUCACAUUAAACUUUUAACAUAAUCUACUCCCACUAAAAUCAAUAUCCCUCUAUCGAUACUUAGUGAUUCAGGAUCCACAACUAACAAGUCUACUACUGAGCUUUAGCAUCACCACUAGCAAACAAGGUAGAUCAGUAAGCAACUUCUUGCUAAUCAUAUCACAUAUGACUCCAGUUGUUGGAUGAUAUCUCCAUGUCUCGGCGUCCAAGCUUUAUUCCCCAAGGUCCUUAACCGUUAAGAUAACCUUGUUAAGAGAACCAACCCUUAUGCGUGUAAGUAUCUAAUACGAACCCAUCUAGUUAAGGAAAACCAGUGGCACCCUAAUUUCAUAG
rnacentral:lncRNA from 1 species